GAUGGUGAACUAUGCCUGAGCGGGGCGAAGCCAGAGGAAACUCUGGUGGAGGCUCGAAGCGAUACUGACGUGCAAAUCGUUCGUCUGACUUGGGUAUAGGGGCGAAAGACUAAUCGAACCAUCUAGUAGCUGGUUCCCUCCGAAGUGUCCCUCAGGAUAGCUGGAGCCCAUUACGAGUUCUAUCAGGUAAAGCCAAUGAUUAGAGGCAUUGGGGACGCAACGUCCUCGACCUAUUCUCAAACUUUAAAUAGGUAGGAUGGCUCGGCUG
rnacentral:ncRNA from 1 species